CCUACGGGUGGCAGCAGUGGGGAAUCUUCCGCAAUGGGCGAAAGCCUGACGGAGCAACGUCGCGUGAACGAUUGAAGGCCUUCGGGUUGUAAAGAUCUGUUGACAGGGACGAAUAAGCCAUGCGAAUAGCUUGGUGUAUGACGGUACUUGUUUAGAAAGCUCCGGCUAACUACGUGCCAGCAGCCGCGGUAAUACGGAGGGAGCAAGCGUUGUCCGGAAUUACUGGGCUUAAAGGGCGCGUAGGUGGGUGCUUAAGUCAGGUGUGAAAACUCUGGGCUCAACCUGGAGACUGCACUUGAAACUGGGUAUCUUGAGGGCAGUAGAGGAAGGUGGAAUUCCUGGUGUAGCGGUGAAAUGCGUAGAUAUUAGGAAGAACCCCGAUGGCGAAGGCGACUUUCUGGACUGUACCUGACGCUGAGGCGCGAAAGCGUGGGUAGCGAACGGGAUUAGAUACCCGAGUAGUC
rnacentral:rRNA from 1 species